UGGGGAAUUUUGGACAAUGGGCGAAAGCCUGAUCCAGCAAUGCCGCGUGUGUGAAGAAGGCCUUCGGGUUGUAAAGCACUUUUGUCCGGAAAGAAAUCCUCUGGGUUAAUACCUCGGGGGGAUGACGGUACCGGAAGAAUAAGCACCGGCUAACUACGUGCCAGCAGCCGCGGUAAUACGUAGGGUGCAAGCGUUAAUCGGAAUUACUGGGCGUAAAGCGUGCGCAGGCGGUUUUGUAAGACGGAUGUGAAAUCCCCGGGCUUAACCUGGGAACUGCAUUCGUGACUGCAAGGCUAGAGUAUGGCAGAGGGGGGUAGAAUUCCACGUGUAGCAGUGAAAUGCGUAGAGAUGUGGAGGAAUACCGAUGGCGAAGGCAGCCCCCUGGGCCAAUACUGACGCUCAUGCACGAAAGCGUGGGGAGCAAACAGGAUUAGAUACCCUGGUAGUCCACGCCCUAAACGAUGUCAACUAGUUGUUGGGAUUCAUUCCUUAGUAACGUAGCUAACGCGUGAAGUUGACCGCCUGGGGAGUACGGUCG
rnacentral:rRNA from 1 species